CAUCGGUGUGGGUAGGCUGCAAACGAGGUGCUGCUGCUGCUGCUGCUGCUUAUUGCAGCACCACCGCUACUACCCUUGACAACAGCAACAGGAGAGUUGCUGCUCCUGCUGGCUUCCCGGAAAUCCGAAGGCAGUGGACCCUACUGGAAGCAGACAGCAAAAUGGGCGCCCUUUGUGUCGACUUCGGUAGCCAAUGAGAGAACAGAGAAGGCAACAGUAAUGUAGUGUGUUGAGGCCUCUGAUUGGCCCAGGAGCUCUUCCUUACGUCACAGAAGUUCAGUCUGAAAACUCCGGAGUAGUUCUAGACUUGGGAGUCAGAGGAACGUCUCAUUCGGUUGUUCCGUUAUUGAAGCUCAAUUGAAGAUCUCGUCUACAUGUUGAUCCCGAGUCUCCAUUGGAAAGAGAGUGAUGAAUUUAAAAAGGGGGUUUCCAAUCCUUGGAUUUCCUAGUUAAAACGAUAAGCAAUUUGUCAAUUAGUUCAUCUAGUGGUGGUCUAACAAGAUGAUAAGUCUUGUCUCCAGAAACUUUUGAAGGAGAAAAUUAGGAAUUACGAAGUGACCGUAGUUGGACAUACUAGGAUGAUCAGGGGUUGUACAGUGAAAUUUAUUACCUGCAAUAAUUCAUAAAAUGGUGGUUAACUGUUUGUCCACCUGUUUAUUCUGUGCUACUACAAUUAUACCAUUUGCAGUUCCUCCUACAUAGAUUCUGUAGUAAGCGAAAUAAGGCAAACAAUAUUUGCAGUUUUAUAUCUUUUUGGUUUAUACUGUGCUACCACCAUACCAUUUAGUUCCUCUUACGUACAUUCUGUAUUAAGUGAAAUACAGCAACUUUUCUUUUUAAUCUGCUGGCAGAAAUUUAGUUCAGCAGCCCUGGUUACUGGCUUUACUUGCAACAAUAAUCACCUUUCCCCACAAAACUUGAAGACUUGUACCUCCAGCACCCUAGCACUGGGAUGUAAUCUGAAUAAAAAAAAAUUCAGAAUCAUAUGAUAUAAAACAUUUUUCAUUAACUUUUUUAACAAGGCCUCUUUUAUUUUUUUAUUUUUUACUUUUUCAACAAGAUAGAAAUAUCUACAAACCUGAGGCCUUAGUUAGGUAUAAGCAAAUUCUUCGUUUGAAGAAGAUAUAUGGUUUGUGUAGGAACAAGAAUAGUGAAUAAUGUUCAAAAUCUAGAAAUUGAAACUAUAAGAGAAACCUUGAAGAGGUUAAAAUCUACUACCAUACGUGAAUAUUGAAUUUUCCAAUAUAAGUUAAACUUCAAAAACUAGGCAUAACUAAGAAUUGUUCCUUUUCUAAAACUCUAGGUAACAAGUAAUUACCAAACUACCCCGUUGACCGUGUUCCUUUUCACAAACUACAGUAGUACCUCGUAUUUCGAAGGCUGUUCGAAGUAUGAUUUGUUCGAUUGUUCGAAAUAUGAAACAAAUAUCCCUAUAAGAAAUAAAGGGAAUCAGGAUAAUUCGUUCCGGCUAACCCAAAAAGUCCCCCCUUUCAGAUUUUUUCUAUUAAUGUGUUCAAAAGUCAAAUCAAGAGUGUAAUGAAACAUUACGUUAUAUGAAGUAAAAUUUUCUAAAUUUUAUUUUUUCUGGGUACGAUUUACGAACUGUUUGGUAAAAUGGGCACCGGCGGCAGGGGGAUGGAGGGAGGAGAGACGGGAACCCUUUUGAGCAAACCGAAUUGAUUGCAGUAUGCAAAGGUUGAUAACAAAAUACAUUUUAUUCACAUUAGGUACAAAGAUAAUUAAAAGAAUCGAUAGUGUGUGUGUCCGAUUGUGUCUGAGAGGCAGAGAGUAAUCAGCUGUUUACACUUGGUUCUUAAGUGCACGAAAUAGAUUAAUUAUGCCACAAUACAUCAACUUACCGUUGGCAAACGGCAGACUUCUAAAACAAACAUGAGGAUUUUACAAACAAAUAAGUAAUAAGUCAAGAAUGCAAGAAAAAGAAAAAAUAAAAACUUUUCUCAAGGAAGCCGUUAAAACAAACUAUCUAAGGCAUGCAGAAGCUGAAAGCGGCGCCAGUAUGUUUAUUACAGAGCUGAGUUACAGUUACAGGAGUAAAAAUAUCGUAAAAAGCAAUUAUCACUAGAUUGGUAUUUUAUCGUAACAAAAAUAAAAGUGAUUUGGGGAGAUCGAGAGUAAGUGAAAGAA